CCACUCCCAACCCUCCCUGUUCCCCAUCCCCUGACCGCCUCCCCAGAACCUCCACCCCCUCCUCCCUGACUGCCCCCCAGGAACCCCUGCUCCCUUACCCAACCCCCCAGCCUCUUACCAGCAGCACGAGCUCACAGCCGCAACACCCAACCAGAGCCAGCUGCAUUCCCCGCGCUGCCCAGCGGGAGCGCACUCCACCUUUAUCUGACGGGUCCGUGCUGGGUACAAGAGGGAGCACUACAUACUGGAAAAGAUAGUCUGCAAUCAGCAUCUCCAUAUUUAAGGACUGGGAGCCAUGAAUUGCAUUUUGGCACUUGAAAAGCCACAUUUUGGGCAUUCCUACUAUAGAGAUUGCAGAAGUGCAUGGAAUUGAAAUUCUUUCAUCUGCUGGCUUACGUAGCCUGUAAAGAGUUAAAUCAGCAAGAACACUCGAGCACCUGCGGCACCCAGCUCGUCUGCUCUCCCAAUAUAGUGGCCCUGCAGGCCUCAGAAACAACAAAGCCUUAUAAAGACACGUUUGUCUUACACCAAUGUAAAUAUACUUCAGUGUUAAAGAGGAUGAUGUAAACUCCACCUCCAUUAAAAGUGCAGUCCUAGGAACUUGGAAAGGCUGAACUGUCUAGCGUGUUAUAAAGAAGCAAGGAUAUUGAGCUCACUAAUGAGUUCAGUGACUAACUUAUAUCUGUCAAUGAAGGGACUGCAAAAAAUUCAGCUGCAAAGAUGUAUUGGAAUUUAAUGAAUGUGAUCACAAAUGUUCGGAAUUUUUUAAUCUUUGAACAACUUGGACAAAAAGUUCCCUUAUCUUCUCUUUGUAAUAACCACACAAUCCUCCUUUGGCUCACUGAGUAGCCAGGGGCUGGGGGCACAAGAAUUGCCUAGAAGGUAUUUUUUAAACACACUGAUUAUUGAAGAGCUUUUUUACAUUCAGUUAAACAAAAGCCCCCUUCUUUCUUUUCCCCAUUCACACAUGGUUCCCUAAACUUGGACAUGCUUGGACUUUAU